GUGAAAUCCGUCCCUCUUGAGUCUCCGCCUCACGCUGCUCGCAACUCGGAGCAGGUCGCCGUCGCAGAAGCAGCAGUGCCGCACGUCGCAGCAGCGCUGCACAUCCAUUCUGCAUUCUCAAAGAUAUUGUAUCAUAUUGUCAAAGGAUGCAGUUUCUAAAAGACAUCGUACCUGCUGCAUUGAACAAUAUAAACACAAAAUUUAUUGUUUUGGACAAAGGGAUGAUAGGUUUGGAAGGGCAACACAAGACGUGUUUGGCACUAGUUGCAGAUGAGACAGCUGCGGUUCACUUUCAAAUGUGGGGUGAUGAAUGUGAUGUUUUUGAGCCUGGGGAUAUCAUCCGGUUAGAAAAUGGCAUCUUUUCUUAUAUUCGCAAUAACCGCAAUAACCAUGUAUUACGGGCAGGUAAGCGAGGCAAGGCAGAAAAAGUGGGAGAGUUUACCAUGGCCUAUGUGGAGAAACCAAACAUGAGUGAGAUACAUUGGGUCCCUGAUCCGAAGAAUCCUAAGAUAUAUUUGCCAGUGGAUUUUACUUCUCACAUUUCACCAACACAUUGAGUAUUGGGCAAACUUAUAUCUGACAGAUUCUUUGAAGGGUCUUAUGAUGCAGUAUACUGAUGAUUGUGGGGAUUGGUUCCUGUGGUUUGUAGAAAGUAAUGCCUCUAUUUCUCUAGUUGGAUUGACCUUAAACUCAUCUUGUGUGUGGUUGUUUGAUUAUUAUCAACUUCUCUGCUGCAAUGUGCAAACAGAUGAGAAAAAAAUCCUUAUAUUUAGGUAAAGUUUUCCUGUCUUGAUCAAGAAAAAAGUUUAAAAGUAUGGAUGAAGGGAGAAUAAAUACAUUAGGAGUGGGAAAGGAAACUUGGUUAAGGCAAUGGAAGGUUAGGCUGAUCACUCUAGUAACCGUUUACUAGAUGGCUUGUGCCCAUGUGCCUAAUAUUUCUGUACAAAGAAGAUCCGGCACUGAGAAUUAAGACUUGGAAGUAAUAUCAGCUUGAUCAUAACUACAGAGAGUAGAGAUUAACUACUCUUCAACAGAAAGCAGGCUGGAACAUCGGUUGAGUUGCUGCUUUCACUUUGAUGAGCUGAUUCCAUGACAAUUACAGCUUACAAAAGAAAUUUCACUCUUUCUAUGGCUUAUGAGCAGGAAUAAAGGAGGUGAAAAGGUUACUUUUGCGUAGCUGCAAAACAGUGUCAUCUUGAGGGAGUUGAAUGAAUUUCAAACUUGAGCUGAAAUUGGUUAAUGAUUGAAUAUAAGAAGGGAGCUUGUUGUCAUGAGGUGAUUGGAUAAUGAGAACUGUAAUGGACAUGUUUUUUUCUCUAGUUAUGAGAAGCUUUGCCAUUUCUACUGUGGACACUAAAUGGCCAAUUCCUGGACUAGGAAUGAAGAUCAACUCUAUUUUCUUGGUACUUGACAUUUUUUUUGGUACAAGCUUGUACUUUUGAUAUUGUUUGAAACUUAAAAGAGGAAAGUGGAUUUUGUGGAUAGGUGUGUAAUAUUGGUAUUGAUUAUAAUAACCCUUGUGAUUGGUUA